rnacentral:rRNA from 1 species
GAUGAACGCUGGCGGCGUGCCUAAUACAUGCAAGUCGAGCGAACGGACGAGAAGCUUGCUUCUCUGAUGUUAGCGGCGGACGGGUGAGUAACACGUGGAUAACCUACCUAUAAGACUGGGAUAACUUCGGGAAACCGGAGCUAAUACCGGAUGAUAUUUUGAACCGCAUGGUUCAAAAGUGAAAGAGGGUCUUGCUGUCACUUAUAGAUGGAUCCGCGCUGCAUUAGCUAGUUGGUAAGGUAACGGCUUACCAAGGCAACGAUGCAUAGCCGACCUGAGAGGGUGAUCGGCCACACGGAACUGAGACACGGUCCAGACUCCUACGGGAGGCAGCAGUAGGGAAUCUUCCGCAAUGGGCGAAAGCCUGACGGAGCAACGCCGCGUGAGUGAUGAAGGUCUUCGGAUCGUAAAACUCUGUUAUUAGGGAAGAACAUAUGUGUAAGUAACUGUGCACAUCUUGACGGUACCUAAUCAGAAAGCCACGGCUAACUACGUG